rnacentral:rRNA from 1 species
UACGUAGGGGGCAAGCGUUGUCCGGAAUCAUUGGGCGUAAAGAGCGCGUAGGCGGCCCUGUAAGUCCGCUGUGAAAGUCAAGGGCUCAACCCUUGAAUGCCGGUGGAUACUGCAGGGCUAGAGUCCGGAAGAGGCGAGUGGAAUUCCUGGUGUAGCGGUGGAAGUGCGCAGAGAUCAGGAGGAACACCCGUAGCGAAGGCGGCACUCUGGGCCGAUACUGACACUGAGGAGCGAAAGCGUGGGGAGCGAACAGG